rnacentral:rRNA from 1 species
UACGUAGGGGGCGAGCGUUAUCCGGAAUUAUUGGGCGUAAAGGAUGCGUAGAUGGUUCGAUAAGUUACUAGUGGGAAAUCGAGGCUCAACCUCGUGGAAGCUGGUAAUACUGUCGAGCUCGAGUGCAGGAGAGGUUAACGGAACUUUAUGUGGAGCGGUAAAAUGCGUAGAUAUAUGAAAGAACACCAAUAUAGCGAAGGCAGUUAACUAUUCUGCUAACUGACAUUGAGGCAAUGAAAGCGUGGGGAGCAAAACGG